UACGGAGGGUGCGAGCGUUAAUCGGAUUUACUGGGCGUAAAGGGCGCGUAGGCGGCCGGGCAAGUCUGGUGUGAAAGCCCAGGGCUCAACCCUGGAAGGGCACUGGAAACUGUCUGGCUUGAGUUCCGGAGAGGAGGGGGGAAUUCCCGGUGUAGCGGUGAAAUGCGUAGAUAUCGGGAGGAAUACCGGUGGCGAAGGCGCCCCUCUGGACGGGUACUGACGCUGAGGCGCGAAAGCGUGGGGAGCAAACAGG
rnacentral:rRNA from 1 species